UGGUGAAAGACAAGAAUGAAGUUACAGUGGAUACCACAACUAGUCAAUUAGCAGUUGUCACCUCAUCCCCUCUAUGGGAUGUCUUUUUGAGUUUUCGUGGCCAAGACACUCGCACAAAUUUCAUUUCACAUCUUUACCAUGCUUUGGAUCAGGCAGGGAUCGUAACCUUCAAAGACGAUCCUGCACUUGAAAAGGGUGAAGAAAUCUCAUCAGCUCUGCGUCAAGCAAUCACAAAUUCUAAAAUGUUUGUACUAGUUAUCUCACAGAACUAUGCUGCUUCGUCGUGGUGCCUUGAUGAGCUUGUAGAGAUCCUGAGUUGCAAGAGAACAAAGAAUCAGGUUAUUCCAGUAUUUUACCAUGUUAAUCCAUCAGAUCUACGACACCACAGGGGGAGUUUUGGCGUAGCUCUUAAAAAGCAUGAGAAGCGUCACUCUGUUGAUAGGAUUCACAAGUGGAAAUCUGCGCUUACUGAAGUCGCAGCUCUAUCAGGUUACCAUUUGGAAGACGCAAAAGAGUAAGUCCUUUAUGAUGACUUCUUUAUCUAAUUCAAACCAUCUGUUUUUCUAUUAAUGUUCAGUUACACUUUCUGUAAACACAUGACAUGCUUACUGAUUAAAGGACUUGCGACGCAACACAUUAUAUAUUAUUUAUAUAAGCAAAGGAUUACAAGUGUGUAUAUUGUACUCAAAUUAACAGGAGUGAAGCAGAUACAAUUCAAAAUAUUGUUGACAAUGUUUUGUCACAAGCAUCGACAAAGGUCGUACACCUUGAAAGAUGUUUAUUUGGGAUAGAUCUUGCUGUCGAAGAGAUAUAUGGACAACUAGGCAUCGAGUCAGAUGAUGUUCGCGCCCUUGGAAUAUGUGGGAUGGGUGGAAUUGGGAAAACUACUAUAGCCAAGGCUUUCUACAAUAAGUAUGCCCACAAAUUUGAUGUAAGCUGUUUUAUGGAAAAUAUAAAACAAAAUUCACAAGGAGCUAGUCCUCUACGUUCUUUACUUCAAAAACUCUUGAAAGAGCUUCUCAGAGCCAAGGAUUUUGAGGUCCGUGAUGUUCAAAGUGCACUAAGAAAAUUGGGAGAAAUUCUUAGUUAUAAGAAAGCUCUGCUUGUUUUCGAUGAUUUGGACCAUUCAAGCUACUCAGACUUGCUAGUAAGGAUUUGCGAGCUGAUUUCAAAUGGUAGAGACGGUAGCAGAAUGAUAAUUACGGCAAGAGAUUUAAACCUCCCAAAUCAACUAAAAGUACAAAUGUCAAAAGUAGAUACAUAUAGGGUGAAGCAUCUGAAUGAAAUCAAUUCACUAGAGCUCUUUAGCUAUCAUGCCUUUAAACAAUCAAAGCCUCCCGGAAAAUACUUAGCUCUGUCUGAAAGUUUUGUUACUUAUGCGGGAGGCCUUCCACUAGCUCUAAAGGUGUUGGGUUCAUCUUUGCGCGGUAGGACAGAUAUGUCAUUCUGGAAAGUUAAAUUGGAAAAAGUUCAAAAAAUUCCAAUGGAAAAUAUCCAAAGGAUCCUUCAACUGAGUUACGAUGAGUUGGAAGAUAAUACACAAAAGGCUAUUUUCCUUGAUAUUGUAUUAUUCUUCCUCGGAAAGAAGAUAGAUGAGGCUGUUGAUGUAUUCAAAUCAUGUGAUUUGUUUCCGGAGUGUGGGAUACCAAUUCUAGUUGAAAGAUGUCUACUAACCGUUGAUUUCGAUAAUACGCUUCAAAUGCAUAAUCUUGUAAAGGACAUGGGAAGGAACGUUAUUGAUGAAGAAUCCAAACAUGGCAGGUGUCGGCGCUUGUACUUGGAAGGAGCAUCACAGGCUUUGCCAAAUCAGGUAAACAAAAUGCUAAAUAUUUUAUUCCUCUAUCUGAUAUACAUACAUGCUUUUUCUUAAAAUAUAAUUAUUUAACUGAAUUAUUGAAUUUUAUAUUUAAAAAAAAUUACUUUUAACCAAUAUUUAAUUUAAAUGUUUUUAACCUUAUUCAAAAGUGAUUCUGAGUACAAUUUCUUACUUUGGCUACUACCUGUUAAUGACAUUUAGGACAUGGAUAAAGUUGAAGCCCUAAUUGUAGAUUGUACAACGUCAAUCAACAAAUACUGCAAUGCCAAGCUAUUCGAAAGGUUGCCAAACCUAAGAUUAAUAAAAUUAGUUGAUGUCUAUGAUAUCAAAGGAAAUUUCAAAGCUUCAUUUGAUGAGUUGAGGUACAUCAGUUGGCAUGAUUGUCCUUGGACCCAUUUACCUUAUGGUGUUCAUCUACAAAAACUUGUUGUUUUAGACAUGCCAUUCAGCCGAUUUGAAACAUUGUGGAAGAUUGCUAAGGUAUGAAAUCAAAUAUCUUAACUAUUUCUCUCCCGCUCAUGUGUUAUAUAUACUAGCUUUAUAUGCCCUUACUUCGCACAUGUUAAGUUUUAUAUAUGAUAAAUUCUCGAAAACAACUAACUUGAUGAAUGAAUUAAUCAAGCAACAUCGUUAUACAUCGUGCCAUACAUUACGUUUCAUGGAUGAUAAUCGGCAUCACAUUCAUCAUAUUAUACUUCACUGCUAAUCACUUACUAGAAAACUUAAAAAGUAUACUAAUGAAUAAUCCUAAGUUCCUAACAUUGAGCAAAUUCUGGAAAAUAUGAACCAACCUAUUUAGAGACUCAACGAAGCAAAAUCAUGAUGGGGUAUUGUUCCAAAUUUGUUCUUCCGCUCUCUAGAAGUGCAAGGAGUGGUUNUGGAAUUGAUGGACAAAAAAAAGAAGAAAAAAACUACAAAGCAAGGUUGCUGAAGCAAGAAUACGCUAUGCAGAAACAAAGAGUUAGUUAUCCAAAAUCUGAUCAAAUGACCAUUUUUAAUCUCUUCUUUGAUGAUUUUGUAUAACCUGGUGUGUCUCCGGCUUCAUUCAAGUCAACAACAUAACAACAUUAGUCAUAAAACUAGGAUAAGUUCAUCAGUGAGGACAUAAUAAAAAUUGAGUUGUUUGAGGCUGUGAAUGAUAUGAACUUGGAGGCCCUGGAUCUGAGUGGUAAUCACUACAACAAAAACAGCAUCAGACAACGGUUUUUGCCCGUUGUCUGAUACCCAAGAAAACCGUGGUCUAUUGAGAUGCCGUCUGAUAUGCACCUCAGACAACGGUACGUACCGUUGUGUGAGAUCAAGAAACACAUCGGUUUAUGUUUUUCUGCGUGUUGUGUUACAUCCAGAAACAACAACGGAAUCAUUUAACAAGGUGUUGUUAUAAGCAAUUCACAACAACGGUCAUAUUUUCGAUUUGUGUUGUUAUUAGGAGUAUCCACAACAGUUUUUGGUUUUACUCACUUGUUAGUAAGAGUAUCAGACAAGAAUAUUUGUGUCAUAACGGCUUGUGUUUUACUACAUUGUACAACGGUCUUGUAGAAGGGGCCACUUGUGUAAGGCCCCAUAUAACAAUAGUCUGUAUAUUAGAACAAUUGUCUUGAAAGCUUUUCUACAACGUUUUUGUUUUCAGAUGCUCGAGUAAUAUUGCUUUAGACAAUGGUUUGUGACUACUAUUUACUUGUUUGUAUAUGUCUUAGACAACGGCUUUAUUCUUAAUAUUGUGUUGUUUGUAAGGCUUGGGACAACUGUUUUUUUUUUCCUUUUGUAUUUAGUUAUGUCAGACAAUGGUUUUACAUAACCUAAUUAAACUAUGCUCAAGAAUAUAAUUAAGAAGCCAUAAAUUAGUAACAAAAGUUUCCAUUACCAACUACAGUAACAAUAUACAAACACAAAUAAGUUUAGACUGCUCACAGUAGUUCUACCUAUAGAAAACAACAGAUUUAAAGAAACAAUAUCUUAAACCAGCCACAUUGCCACCCAAUUUGCUUGCAAGCACCAGUUUCUACUAACAAAAGCUCAACUAUAGAUGAUACUUAAGGAGAAAGAGGUUCAGUCUGUUGUUUUCUGCUUGUUGAACCAGCCUUUUUAUUCUUCUUCUCUAAACCAUUAAGUAAAUCACUAAGAUCGUGAACUGCAGAUUUUAGAUCUUUUACGGAGAUUCCUGUUUUUAAGAUAUGCUUCUCCCCGUUCGAAGUCCAACCAACCAAAGCAGGAAGUGAGUCAACACCUAACUUUUUCACCAUUGGAUCUGAUGUAUCAUGAACCUAUAACAUAUUUGAAUAUCAAUUAAGCACCAGAAAAAGGAGUAAAAAGAAAACAGCCUGUAAUAACCACUACCACUAUAAACAAACUAACAAGUAACUAGUCGUUACUUCUUUCAAGCUUAAAAUACAUGAUGCUCAAUAUCUACAUAAAGUAUUAAUAAAAACUAUAAUCUUUAUUCUAGGCAAGAAGGGUGCCAUUAUGCGGACUUUGUAGGCUUUAAAAAUUACCAGUCAUGGUAGGUUCCAAUCAGGACCUGUUAUAGACUAUUGGAAACUAUACAUUACAUCAGUGCCUUGAUAGGCUCCUCAAAACAAGGAUUUAAAUCAUACAUAUCUUGACUAAUACAGGAAAUCUAUAUUUUAGGUAACUGCCUUUGAAUCAAUUAUACAAUAUGGUAUGACUAAUAAUUAUUUGCCCACACUACUUUCCAACACCCUUGUACCUAAUCUGAUAGAGAGUGUUGCAGCACCAGUAAUUCACUUGUGAUCUAUGAGGAGUAGGAAUAAUAUUCACGUACAUACAUUUUAUACAAAAUAUAUAGGUUCACAAGGAAUAGAGCUUACUAGAUAUCAAGAGCAAAAAUCUGUGUGAGGUUUGAAAUACAUUUGGUUGACACUGAUAUCAACAUGUUUAAAUGAACUAAGAGUACACCAUACUUACCUAUAACUUGAACUUGGAAAAUAAUAUAAUGACAAGUAUAAAUUAAUUAUAAUAUCACUUACCAGUUAAUUGUGUGGACUGAUAUAUUAAAAUGUCACACACUCAAUGGUUCUGAGUAAAAUUUCAGCAGGGGCUCCUCCCCCAAUUUGUGUCACUUACACAUGUAUGCUAUUAGCAAUACUUCAGGCCAUUUGGGAAGGGAAGGUAGUGCUAGCUACGCUUCCCAGAAGGUUGAAACACAAGGUAAGCAAAAUAAUCAAUCUGGCAGCCAUAUAAUCAGAAUUUACAAAGAGCACUUUAAAAUGAUAUAGCCAAAGUGAAAACUUAACUUAAUUUUGUUUAUAUAAUACCUGGUAUUCUUCUCAAUUCAUCACUAGUGCUUAUACUUCAAUAUCAUUCCGGUAAACAACAAAGUGAAAUAUUUAUCAAUAAUAAUAAGUAAAAGAUGAGCUCAUGACAAAGAGGAAAACAAGGGAUCUAAAUUUAGCAGAGAAAACAAGAGUGAAUAGUUAGCACUGCCUACUUUUGGCUUAUAUGUUGUCUCCUUUGCUUCACAUAGACUUUCAUAUUUACAUAUAGUAUUUACAGAAGCAGUAAGAUUUGGCAAGCAUAAUAUAAAACACACACAUUCUGUGGUGUGGGAACAAUUAUUGACACAUUCAUACUCAAUAUGCAAUUGAUUAAAAAAAUAUAAAUUGAGAAUCUAGGGUUUGGACCUGCAAAAGCAGAAUGAAGAUGCGAAUCAAAUUCUUAUUCUCCUUUAGCUGCUUCAGAGAAUCAACACACUCCACUUACAAAGCAAGCCAAAAACAACUGUUAGUAUGUAAAACAAAUCCUAAUCACAAACAAAAAGAGGAUAAAGAGAAGAGAGACAUCGAGAGAGAAGAGAAGAAAGAGCCGAACAGAGAAGAGAGACAACGAGAGAGAUUAUUGGAGAGAGAGAAGAGAAUAGAGCUAGAUGGCCAGAGAGAGAAGAGAAGAGAGACCCGUGAGAGGGAGAAGAGAAGAGAGACCCCUGAGAGAGAGAAGCAUAAAGGGGGAAGCCGGUAAGGGAAUAUGAUGCAAGAGCAAACUUCCCUUGUUUCCAUAGCUUCUCUGGUGUACUGUGUUCACCUUCGACAUACUAAUUGGAGAUGUAGAAGAAGAAAGAUACAAAGAGAGGAAGAGGGAAACCAAAAUUUGAGUUUAACGCUAGAGGGGGAAACGAAAAUUUGGGAUUGCUGGGGGACCAAAAAUUAUUUGGGGAAAAUGACAUGGCUUGUCUCCAAAGCUGAGAUACCAAAUGGAAUUAUAAAUAAUAAAAAUAUUAUAUUUUAAUAUAUUGUGAAGUUGAAUUAUUGAAAAAAUGAAUUCUUUUCAAGUAUUUAUUUAUAGUUGAUUAUCAAAAUAUCAUAAAAAUAGAUUUUUAAAUAUAUAAACAGUUAGUGGUAUAAAAAAUAAAUAUUUUAUACUUAUCUUAUAUGAUCAUUUACAAAAAUAUAGUAUGAUUAUUGUGUCUAGUAAACAAAAUAAUUGAUCCUAGUAAUUGUUGAUGUAGAAAUAUAAGAAAAUUUGAACUAACAAUAUUAGUCAUGCAUUAAAAAAUUAAUUUUUUUAUGAUUAUUUUGUAUGUUUUUUUAACAACAAUAGUUAAUCGUAAAAUUUUUCUUAUUAUAAAAAGGUAAUUUUUAUGAGUUAAAAAUUCGCACUUCCUUGAUUAAUUAUUGUUUUUGCACUCUUUGUAUUAAAAAAUAUAUUUAUGUUAUGUAUAUAUGCAAAUAUGUAUUGUUCAUGUGUAAAACCAAGACAAUUUUGUACUUCGGACGCAUGUAUUAGUAUGUGUUUUAUGUUUACAAUUUAAAAAGUAGUAGAUAUAAUCUUUGUUAUGUAUUCAAUUAGUUUUGUAUUAAUUUAUAAAUAUUUAUUUCAAUGAUCUAACCGUACGGAUGUCAAGAACUAACAAUAUUAGUCAUGUAUAAAAAAAAUAUAAAAAUUUUAUGUUUAUUUUGUAUGUUUUUUUAACAAUACUAGUCAAUUGUAAAUUUUGUCUUAUUUGUGAAAAGGUAUUUUUUGUCCUGUAGUGUCUACAGACAACGGUUUUUAUAAGCACAUAUGUUGUAUAAAAAUAGUGUAGACAACGGUUUAUAGAAAGGAAACCGUUGUACAAUAAAUUAUCAUUUUUAAGAGUAAAAAAUUCGUAUUUCCCGGAUCAAUUCUUGUUUUCGUACUCCAUGGCUUAACAAAUAUAGUUAUAUUAGGCAUAUUUGCAAAUUUCUAUUGUUUAUUUGUACUAUAAAGAUAAUUUUGUAAUUCGGACGUGAGUGUUAGUAUGUGUUUUAUGUUUACAAUUUAGAAAGUACUGGAUAGAUACUUUGUUAUGUAUACGAUUAACUCUGUAUUAAUUUAUAAAAAAUUUAUUUUGAUGAUCUAACCGUACGGAUGUCAAGAAAUAACAAAAUUAGUCAUGUAUAAAAAAAAUCAAAAUUUUUUAUGUUUAUUUUGUAUGUUUUUUAACAAUACUAGUCAAUUGUAAAUUUUGUCUUAUUGUAAAAAGGUAUUUUUUGUCAUGUAGUGUCUAACAGACAAUGGUUUUUCUACGCACCUAUGUUGUAUAAUUGAAAAUGACACAACUGUUACUGAAGUUAUACCGUUGUAACAGAAUCCAUUGUCUAAAUUAUGCUCAAACAACGCUUCAUGGAAAAUCCGUUGUAUAAAAGUAGUGUAGACAACGGUUUAUGGGAAGGAAGCCGUUGUAUAAUAAAUUUUCAUUUUUAUGAGUUAAGAAUCCGCAUUUCCUUGAUCAAUUCUUGUUUUUGUACUCUUUGUAUUAAAAUAUAUAUAUUUAUAUUAUGCAUAUAUGCAAAUAUGUAUUGUUCAUUUGUUAUACCAAGAUAAUUUUGUACUUCGGACGUAAGUAUUAGUAUGUGUUUUAUGUUUACAAUUUAUAAAGUACUGGAUAGAAUCUUUGUUAUGUAUAAGAUGAGCAUAAUAUUAAUUUUUAAAUAUUUUUUUCGAUGAUCUAACCGUACGGAUGUCGAGAACUAACAAUAUUAGUCAUGUAUAAAAAAAAUCUAAAUUUUUUAUAUUUAUUUUGUAUGUUUUCUUAACAUUACUUGUUAAUUGUAAAUUUUGUCUUAUUAUAAAAAGGUAUUUUUUGUCCUGUAGUGUCUAACACACAACAGUUUUUAUAAGCAUCUAAGUUGCAUCAUUGAAAAUGACACAACGAUUUAUGGGAAGAAAACCGUUGUAUAAUAAACUUUCAUUUUUAUGAGUUAAAAAUUCGCAUUUCCUUGAUCAAUACUUGAUCUAAUGCUAGAAAAGCCUAUGACUACUAAGAAAAUGAAUAUAUUUUUGUAACUUUGGUUAGGACUUUUGAAUGUUUGCACUCUUUUAUGUACAUUUAUUUUCCUCUAAGUCAUUCAGUCAGACAACGUUUUACUAGCUAAAGGCUUGUCUAUAAGGCCAUGAUACGAUGCUAACAAAAACACUUGUAUGUUAGCUUCCCAGUCACACAACACUCUAUGGAACCCUUGUCUGACCUUUUCGUAAACAACACAACAAAUAAAACACUUGUCUCAUUACAACAACGGUUUCUCAGAAUAUUGUCUGAAGUUUCUUCACACAUCGGCUCUAAAAACAGUUGUCUAACAUGCAUCAUUACACAAUACCACAAUUAAGAGACCGUUGUCUAAUUAAAUUUAUUAGACAAGAGUUUUUUAACCGUUGUAGGUCGUAGGUGUUAGACAAUAGUUUUUCGAGGACGAAAAUAAAAUGUUGUGUCUUUGUUUCGGCCAACACUUUUUUCAGCGUCCGUUGUCUGACUAGUGUUGUCUGAUGCCAGUUUUGUUGUAGUGAAUAUAAGAGUUGGUUUGCCCAUGAUUUUAAGCUUCUCUUCUCUGAGAUCAUUACAUCUCCGUGACAAGUGCGGAAGUCCUUCACCAACCAAACCCUUUAGCUUAUUUCAGCUUUUCAACCUGAAAGAACUUUGGUUGACUGACUGUACAAGUCAUGGGUCCUGCUUUCCCGAACUACCACCGAAUUUAGAAUGGUUGUAUAUAUGUAGAAAACCACGCUUCACUGGAGCAAGUACCUGAUUCGUCCUACCUCAAACACUUGAAGACUAUGAACAUAAUGAGAUGCUGCAGCCUUCAAUCUCUCCACAAACUUCCACCUCAUCUUGAAUCCCUUACAGUUAGAGAUUGUACAAGCCUACAAGACUUUCCAGAUCUGCCGGAGUUGAGAGAUUUAAAACACCUGGAUAUUUAUUGCAAUGGCAGCAAUUUAGAAGUCAGUUUAGAGGAGAAUCACCUUCAGGUUAGUGUUAUAUAGUUUAUUAUUUCAGGAAAAUGUUGUAUAAUUACAAAGCUUAAAAUUGGAUAUUUAUUGGAAUUGAACAUUUACACCAAAUCAUAGCGUUUAUUCGACUUGGUAUAUAUAUUUCUUGAUAUGCAAAUUUUUUGGCAAUUUUUUUAAUGAUGUCUUAUUUAUGUAAAUAUCCAUGAAAUAUGUUCAGGUAUUUGUAAGAUUUAGCGAUUAAUAGAGAUUAUUAUUAGACGUGCUUUAUCAAUUCAAUUUAAAAAUUUUGAUUAAUCAUUUUAUAUCAUUCUCAUUUCAUACAUAUAAUAGAGUGGGUGUACACCGCUUCAUAUGAGAUGAAAUAUCGAUAAUGAGUAAAGAUAAAUAUGAUUUCUUUUAGUUUAGGUUUCCCUUUCCAAUAGCAGUGAAGGUGUGUGGGGCUAAAUAACUAGAAAAAUAGAAAUAUUUAUAUAAAUAUCAAUCUACUAUCUACUAUAUUUAUUAUACGAGAACACGUCUUUUGCCGGAGCAAAUUUAUUCACUUGAAAUGACAUACUUGCCCUUCCAAACCUGCAUAAAUGUUAACUUUGAACAAAUUUAUCUAUUGUAAAGGACAUAUUUAUCCUUCCAGAUCUGCUUCCGGACCUGGCCAUCUCCACUAAAAACCCUUCACUCCCGAGUCCCAACUUCAAUUCUCAUCUCAGUGUCUCUCAGAUUAUACAAUGAACGACAUGUCCAUCUCUGUUUGGCUGCUCCUCCCCCUCCCGUGCACCGGGUGCGUCACUCACCUUCUUUUUUGAUAAGGGCUAUUCUGCAUCUCCUACCUCUCCCACCUGAAGCUACAAACUCAUAUCUAUACAUGGUCACUUCUGUGCUUAUCUUCACUGGCAAAGUGUAUGACCGUGGUCUUCAAUAAAUUUAUAGGAAUGGGUUUGGUGGAAUUGUAAAAGUAAUUGCAAAUUUUUAGGUUUUAGGAUAUAGAGCUUACUUGCAAACCCUGGCUUUGGAUCUCUUCAGAGCUGCAAAAGCGUUGAAUUUGCUUCUACUGUCUUCGUUUCCAACAAUGUACAAGUUGCAAUCAUGCUUAAUGCCAAGGCAAGUUUUAUUCAUUUCCUAAAAUAUGUAUAGACAGGUUCUAUUUGUCAAAAAAAAAAAAAGGAUAAUCAAACGUUUCGACUUUGCACGACUAGUCUCAUUCUUAGUGUGAGUCUAUAUAUCAUAUCUAUGCUACUAUGUUUAGUGAAUUACCAGUUCUAAGUGUGCAUCUUGGGCCCUCUGACAUUUUGUAAAGGGAGCGAGAGAGAUACCAUAAUGAUGCAUAUUCUAGCUUAUGACUUUAACUUAUAUCAUGCCCCAGAGGUUAGGAGUGGUGCCUUGCGUCAACCAUUAAUUUUAUUACCUGGACAAGAAUUCACAUUUACAAUUAGAAGAGGGGUCGGGACUACUGAUUGUGUCAGUGUUAAUUAUGAUGAUUUUGCUAAUGAUGUUGAUGCCGGAGAUAUGCUUCUCGUUGAUGGUAAGUCAUAAAUCAUAAUGCCCUAUAUCUUCUUUCCAUUAGCUGUAUAAUCUGAGUUACCAUUGCAAUUAUUAUUUUUCUAGUGUCGUAACCAUACUACAUGCUUGAAAUUGCUUUCUACUUUUAGUCGGUCAGAUUUCUAUGUCAGAUUUCUAUGUGAAGCAUAAGCAUGCAGGCCACUUGGAUCAUGGGAUUUGACCCCGUAAAUGGGAAUGGGAAUAAGAAAUACAUUUUGUAGUGCAAACUCAUUCCUAUUCUUGUUAUCAGGAUUUAAAUCUCAUGAUCCAAAUAGCACUUUCGUAACAAUAUUGUAAGCAGGCAGCGAGCUGAGCAGCUAAUCAUCUGGCAUUGUGUAAUGCAGCAUAAUUCUAAUAAGCAGUGUUUCUUAUGGUUUUAUAAAUUAGUCUCUAUAUUACUUUAUAAGUUGGUACGUGGAGGUUAAAAUACUUUGUCGAUUAACAUUAAAGAUCCUGAUGUAAUAUUUACAAAUUAAAAUGCUUUAGACAAUUUUUGCCGUUAUUUUUAUGAAAGAAAAUAGAUUAACUUUAAUUGUAUUAGUGUGUCACUGCAUCUGCUCUAUGUUGUAGAUGGUAUGAUGCAUUAGUGGUCAAGUGCAAAGAUGAAGAUUUGGUCAAGUGUGAAGUUGUUGACGGAAGCGAGCUCAAAUCAAGAAGACAUCUAAAUGUCCGCGGGGAAAGUGCUACAUUGCAAUCCAUUACUGGUUAGCCCUUUACACCUAAAAUGAUUUCUAUAUCUAUGUACAUGUUUUUCUUUUUAACUUUGGGUGAUAGCUGUACAUGAUAUACUAACUUGUUCUACUGAUGUUCAUUGUAACAGAAAAAGACUGGGAUAAUAUUAAGUUUGGAAUGGACAAUAAAAUUGACUUCUAUGCAGUUUCUUUUGUUAAAGAUGCUGAGGUGGUACAUGAAUUGAAGGCCUACUUAAAAAGUAAAUUUAUUUUAGAUAUUAUGACCUCAAACUGUCAUCAUAGCACUGAUGUAUCCUACUUGAGCUCUAACUAUACUCAUGUUUUUUAAUUUCUUUGAUGGGUUGUGGUGUGGAUAUACAUGUUAUUUCAAAAAUUAAAAGUGCAGAUUCCAUACCAAACUUGCAAUCUAUCAUUGCAGCAUCUGAUGGGGUAUAUCAUAUUUUUAUCUGUUUAAAUUGGCCUUUGAGCUGUUAAUUGGUUAAAUUUGGGCCUUCGCUGGAAAUGUAUGAAUAAUUUACUUAUGUAAUUCAUCACCGGAUUCAAAAAAGAUAUUCAAAAUUAUGUUGGAUCCUUUGUGUUAUAGUUUGCCCUAAAUGUUAAGAUCCCUAACAUUAUGCGCUAAAAGUAGUAUUAUGUUGCUCCUUUCAGGCCAUGGUUGCUAGAGGAGAUCUUGGUGUCGAGCUUCCAGGUGACGAGGUUCCUUCAUUGCAGGUAUAAAUACAGUUGCUAUUUUUAAUGGCCAAAAGUGAGCAUAUAGAGUGACCUAUGUUGCUGAUUUCAUUCAAUAUACCGGAAUUGACUUUUUAGUCCCUCAUGGAGAGAUAAUUCGGUUGUAUCGUAGUAUGGGAAAAGCUUUUAUAGUGGCAACAAAUAUGUUAGAAAUCAUGAUUGUUCAUCAACACCUAAGCGAGCUGAGGUAUUAAUAGACAUUGCAAUAGCUGUUAAAGAGGGUUCUGAUGCAGUUAUUCCUUCCGGAGAAACCGCCCAUGGGAAAGUAAGUCAUUUUGUAUGAAUCUUCGUGUUGCAAGUACAUUAUUUUGUGUCAAAUUGCUAGACCUGUUCAUGCAAGUGGAGGCCAAUACAAUAGAAGACCAAUAUAAUAAAAGCUACCGUAUUGUGUAUUACUGGAUUUCUUCUAUUUGUGAUGUUUUAUCAUACAAGGAAUUUCUUAAUUUUAUAAAUAUGUCCUAAUUAUCUAGAGGAUAGGUUUAUUUGGAAGAUAAGUAAAUAACUAAUUAGCUACUGUUCUUGUUUAUGUAUUAUUUAGCUUAUUGUCUUCUCUACUAAAAACUCUUGCAUCCUUUUUCUAAAAGCUCCUGUAAGUCCUGGUUUAUGAGUUUUUGCAAGUUUUUCAAUUUUACCCACAUAUGUGAGUCAAGAUAGAAAAUAAGACCGAGAAGAAUGCAUAAAUUAUUCUUAUUUGUAAUUCUCUUUAUAAUUGCAGCUCUCAUAUGUAUUUGUAUUAGUUUUCCUGUAAGAGUAGAAAUAUGUUUUAUCGAAUAUUUGUGUGCGAGUUAAUUUGUAAUGAUAAACAUAAUGUGAUGUCACCUAUCNNNNNNNNNNNNNNNNNNNNNNNNNNNNNNNNNNNNNNNNNNNNNNNNNNNNNNNNNNNNNNNNNNNNNNNNNNNNNNNNNNNNNNNNNNNNNNNNNNNNNNNNNNNNNNNNNNNNNNNNNNNNNNNNNNNNNNNNNNNNNNNNNNNNNNNNNNNNNNNNNNNNNNNNNNNNNNNNNNNNNNNNNNNNNNNNNNNNNNNNNNNNNNNNNNNNNNNNNNNNNNNNNNNNNNNNNNNNNNNNNNNNNNNNNNNNNNNNNNNNNNNNNNNNNNNNNNNNNNNNNNNNNNNNNNNNNNNNNNNNNNNNNNNNNNNNNNNNNNNNNNNNNNNNNNNNNNNNNNNNNNNNNNNNNNNNNNNNNNNNNNNNNNNNNNNNNNNNNNNNNNNNNNNNNNNNNNNNNNNNNNNNNNNNNNNNNNNNNNNNNNNNNNNNNNNNNNNNNNNNNNNNNNNNNNNNNNNNNNNNNNNNNNNNNNNNNNNNNNNNNNNNNNNNNNNNNNNNNNNNNNNNNNNNNNNNNNNNNNNNNNNNNNNNNNNNNNNNNNNNNNNNNNNNNNNNNNNNNNNNNNNNNNNNNNNNNNNNNNNNNNNNNNNNNNNNNNNNNNNNNNNNNNNNNNNNNNNNNNNNNNNNNNNNNNNNNNNNNNNNNNNNNNNNNNNNNNNNNNNNNNNNNNNNNNNNNNNNNNNNNNNNNNNNNNNNNNNNNNNNNNNNNNNNNNNNNNNNNNNNNNNNNNNNNNNNNNNNNNNNNNNNNNNNNNNNNNNNNNNNNNNNNNNNNNNNNNNNNNNNNNNNNNNNNNNNNNNNNNNNNNNNNNNNNNNNNNNNNNNNNNNNNNNNNNNNNNNNNNNNNNNNNNNNNNNNNNNNNNNNNNNNNNNNNNNNNNNNNNNNNNNNNNNNNNNNNNNNNNNNNNNNNNNNNNNNNNNNNNNNNNNNNNNNNNNNNNNNNNNNNNNNNNNNNNNNNNNNNNNNNNNNNNNNNNNNNNNNNNNNNNNNNNNNNNNNNNNNNNNNNNNNNNNNNNNNNNNNNNNNNNNNNNNNNNNNNNNNNNNNNNNNNNNNNNNNNNNNNNNNNNNNNNNNNNNNNNNNNNNNNNNNNNNNNNNNNNNNNNNNNNNNNNNNNNNNNNNNNNNNNNNNNNNNNNNNNNNNNNNNNNNNNNNNNNNNNNNNNNNNNNNNNNNNNNNNNNNNNNNNNNNNNNNNNNNNNNNNNNNNNNNNNNNNNNNNNNNNNNNNNNNNNNNNNNNNNNNNNNNNNNNNNNNNNNNNNNNNNNNNNNNNNNNNNNNNNNNNNNNNNNNNNNNNNNNNNNNNNNNNNNNNNNNNNNNNNNNNNNNNNNNNNNNNNNNNNNNNNNNNNNNNNNNNNNNNNNNNNNNNNNNNNNNNNNNNNNNNNNNNNNNNNNNNNNNNNNNNNNNNNNNNNNNNNNNNNNNNNNNNNNNNNNNNNNNNNNNNNNNNNNNNNNNNNNNNNNNNNNNNNNNNNNNNNNNNNNNNNNNNNNNNNNNNNNNNNNNNNNNNNNNNNNNNNNNNNNNNNNNNNNNNNNNNNNNNNNNNNNNNNNNNNNNNNNNNNNNNNNNNNNNNNNNNNNNNNNNNNNNNNNNNNNNNNNNNNNNNNNNNNNNNNNNNNNNNNNNNNNNNNNNNNNNNNNNNNNNNNNNNNNNNNNNNNNNNNNNNNNNNNNNNNNNNNNNNNNNNNNNNNNNNNNNNNNNNNNNNNNNNNNNNNNNNNNNNNNNNNNNNNNNNNNNNNNNNNNNNNNNNNNNNNNNNNNNNNNNNNNNNNNNNNNNNNNNNNNNNNNNNNNNNNNNNNNNNNNNNNNNNNNNNNNNNNNNNNNNNNNNNNNNNNNNNNNNNNNNNNNNNNNNNNNNNNNNNNNNNNNNNNNNNNNNNNNNNNNNNNNGGAGAAACCGCCCAUGGGAAAGUAAGUCAUUUUGUAUGAAUCUUCGUGUUGCAAGUACAUUAUUUUGUGUCAAAUUGCUAGACCUGUUCAUGCAAGUGGAGGCCAAUACAAUAGAAGACCAAUAUAAUAAAAGCUACCGUAUUGUGUAUUACUGGAUUUCUUCUAUUUGUGAUGUUUUAUCAUACAAGGAAUUUCUUAAUUUUAUAAAUAUGUCCUAAUUAUCUAGAGGAUAGGUUUAUUUGGAAGAUAAGUAAAUAACUAAUUAGCUACUGUUCUUGUUUAUGUAUUAUUUAGCUUAUUGUCUUCUCUACUAAAAACUCUUGCAUCCUUUUUCUAAAAGCUCCUGUAAGUCCUGGUUUAUGAGUUUUUGCAAGUUUUUCAAUUUUACCCACAUAUGUGAGUCAAGAUAGAAAAUAAGACCGAGAAGAAUGCAUAAAUUAUUCUUAUUUGUAAUUCUCUUUAUAAUUGCAGCUCUCAUAUGUAUUUGUAUUAGUUUUCCUGUAAGAGUAGAAAUAUGUUUUAUCGAAUAUUUGGGUGCGAGUUAAUUUGUAAUGAUAAACAUAAUGUGAUGUCACCUAUCAGGAUAGAUAUAUUGCUCAAUUCUCUUACAAUCACUUGCAGGCACUUUAUCAUGCCCUCCCAAUGGACCACAUUACUGGUUCCGAGCUUCACAACAAGCUCGAAGGAGAAAUCAACUAGACCGCUGUGCCUAAGCUAAUUGAUAAGAUGACAAAAGAAGGCUUCGUUGAAGCUCAAAGCAAUAAAAGACUUGGUAUGAGAACUUAGCAUUAAAAUUACUUUCAGUGCAUGAAUCAGAUUUGUUGGUCGAUGUUUACAUAUUCCUUUUAUUUCUGAGGCAAGCGUUGAUCCAUUCUGAUCUGAAUGAGAAAAAAUUGCAUGAAGUCAAGGAAUGAGAUGGUGGAAGUUCUUUCGGCACAUUAUAAAUGCAAGUUUCUUUAAUUUUCCUGUAAACAGAUUUUCAAAUUAUGUCGAUAGGAGCUGGAUGAGCCGCAAAGGAAGCUGAACCACUCAGAACUUCAGACAAUUGGUACAUAUUUGAUCAAAUAAUUACUAUUCUAAUUUGAAAUAAAUGAUUCAAUACUUUAAGUAUGUAAUGGUAACCUAAAAGCAAACAGAGGAACUUGUCUACUUGUGACGGAGUUCGCUCCAUUUGAUCAGAUCUAACUUGCAUGAUAGGUGUAAAGCAUAAUGUAACGUAAAUGUAAUUACGAUAACUCAACACAACAAAAGACAGGAAACAAUACAUAAGUAUUAUACAGGAAUCUACAGGUUGGAGAUUCGAUACGAACAGACAAAGACAAUCAAGAUAUCUGAGACGAGCAUCCGUCCACUGGAAGAAGUUCAUUAACAUGUUCAAGCCUCAGUGAAGAAUAAAGUUCAAUAUGUUUCUGCUAUCAAGAUUGCCUGAAGAUCAAGUAUCAAAGACCAGAAGAUUCCAGUAUAUUUAAUUUGAUUAUUUAUAAUCAAAUUUAUCGAAGCAACAUCUGACCCGGAAUGACUGAUCAAGUAUAUUAUCAAGCAAAAGAAUUCAAGAAAUUAUUUCAGUUCGAGUCGUUCGUGAACCAGACCAGUGCACAGGACGACAGGACGUACGAAAGUAUUCAGUGAAUUCGAUCAACCAAUUAAUUGAUCAAGUCAAUCGAGCUGCUCUAGAAUAUAUAUUGCCAAAGAACUUAUUAACAUGUAUAUGUGUAUAUAUAUAUAUUAAUUGUGAAUUACUUGAAUAUAAAUAAUUCAAGUAAUUAAUUAAACACAAUUAGUUCUAUAUAUAUAUAUAUAUAUAAUAAGUGAUGCAAGUAUGUAAGUCAAGAAAUGGUCUAAGUACACUAUAGGGGAGGCGCCAACAUUGUUGAAGCGCAAACUUUGACUAAGUCAAAGUUUGCGCCUCAAUAACCUUCUAACACUUAGAUUUUCUAAGUACACACAGUGCUCUACAGUGGAGUCAUCACUGCAAUGAGCGCAACCUUUGACUAAGUCAAAGGUUGCGACUCCCAUCCACUUCACUAGAGCAACUACUGGAAUUGUUCUAAGUCAUAUCUACUGUGACACUGUGGAAGCUCUUGUGAGCGCAACCUUUGACUCUAAGUCAAAGUUUGCGCCUCACUCUCACCUUGGGGCAAAGUGCAAGUUUCUUGAAGAUUGUCUAAGUGCCACUACAGUGAAGCAAUGUUGAGGCGCCAUGUUUGACCUCCUGGAAGCGCAACCUUUGACCACUUAUAUGUGUACACAUAUAUAAAUAUCCAAGCGCAAGUUUGUGAUAUAUAUAUGUGUAUAUAUAUGUGUAAUUGGCGCCACUUCAAGUGCUGAGGAGUUAGAUUUAUUUUUAUAAAUCGAAUCCGUCCAGGACGAACUCAAGUCGUCCAGGACGAACUCGUUAACCAUGAUUAGUUGUUGGAAAGUCUAUAAAUAGAGGUUGAUGUUUAGGGGUGGCAAUUUCGGGUAACGGGUCGUGUUCGUGUCAGCAAUCGGGUCGAUUUCGGGUCAACCUAAAAUCACUUAAAAUUGAAUAAAACCAAAAAUUGAAGUUAUUACAAAUGAAAUUCUAGUUUCGGGUCAUUUCGGGUCCAUUUCGGGUCUGUCGGGUGAUUUUCGGGUCACUUUCGGGUUUCUGUCUCAGUAAAUCGGGUUUCGGGUUGGGUCGGGUUCGUGUCGGGUUUCGGGUCGUGUCUGAUAUUGCCACCCCUAGAUGUUUUCAUUUGAAAAUAACUACACACUUUGUAAGUGCACACACUAUACACAUUCUCGAGAGUUAAAUUAGAAUAUCGUUUUUAUCGAGAGUUUGUAAUAGAGUGAUUGUAGUCUCUGCAGCCGACACUUGUGUUGGAAUUUGUAGCACCCGAGGAUUAUUUCUAAUACAAAGAAUAUUCCCCGACUUGCUGGAGUUAUUUAUUUACGAUUGAUUUAACAUGGACUGAAACAGAAUUAUCCGCAAUUAAAUUAAAUCGAAGAAACUGGUAAGACGUAUUCAACCCCCCCCUUCUACGUCUGAUUGGACCUAACAAUAGGCAAGUCUGAUGCCUAUCAAAACGGAUCCGUCAAGAGUGACCAUACUGUUGUAAAGAUGAAAGAGCAUGGAAUCCCCAAAAGCAGAGCUCAGGUUUGUCUGGUCAACAAUUGCCUUAAAUUACCAAGUAAAAGAUGUUUUGCUUUCUGAUUUUCUAUGUUUAGUGACCCAAAAUCCUGUAAUCUGACUUCUUUUAAUCAUGCAGCCAGCAGCUUCUAAAAGAGUUUUGCACAAGUAAUAGAAUUUGGCAGAACCAAUGGAAAUCGUGACAAUUGCAGUUAGUUUGAUGCAAUCAUGUGUAGCAAGUCGUCGUCUCAAAGCAAGCGGUCCAGGAAAGUGCUGUAAGCUUCCAACCAUGACGGUGUUUUUAUAUUAAGUUAAUUGUCAUCAGCCAUUAAAGAGGUUCAAUGUUAAGAUUAAUACUCCAUGUAUACACACCCAAAAAUUAUCAUUUUAUGAUUUCAAAUUUUUGCCUGUAUAUCCCCCAUUUUCGUUAUUUAUAUGUAUCUACCCUUAAGCCUCAGGAUAAGAGCUUUCGGUGCAGAGCAGAAUGGGAACAUAACAAUAAAAUCACAUAUUUUUAUUACAUUAAUGACCAAUCAACCUGAUUUAUGGAACAAAAGUAAUCUUAAACGACUCUUUUGUAGAGACUUAAUUUCCCUUUUUUUUUGACAGGUCAAGGAUCCUAUCCUUUAGUACCUAAGAAUGAGAAGUCUCAAGUCGUCUGAAAAGAAUCGGAUCAUAUGGCCUGAUAAUUUCCACAGUUUCUUUCCACUAAUUCCUAUUUCAUGAGACAUAGACUUGUCUACUGCAUGUAUCACUUGAAUUAGCUUUUUUCCUUUCUUUGUCGAUCAGUAUUUUUACGCAGUAUACAUUCUCUCCCAUUUUAUACGACACCCCGUCUACUGAGCAUUUUUGUGUCUCUUUUUAAAAAUAAGUGAUUCAUAGUUUCAUACCAGGCCCGUGCCUCUUAUUAAUAAAGACUUGUCACUUUUGCUUAUCUUAUAUUAUGUUUUUGUUAUUCUUUCUCUACAUCUUGGUCAUAUUCUUUGGAAUUAUUUCUUAUGGAUUCCUCCUUUAAGCAAAUCCCUUUUAGUAGAGCCAGCUCGUGUCCUCAUUACUCUUAGGUACAUUUAUGUUAAAGGCUAAUUUUCAACCUAAACGACUCUAUGCUUUCAUUGAUCCCUGGCUCUUGAUUGAUUUAUACAGGAUUGUGUUUGGGAACACACAAUUCCUUUCAAAUGAUGGGUUUUCAGUAACAUCAGUUGAAUUGUCAUCUUAAAUUCUUUAACUUUGACAUGCUUAUAUAUGAAUGCCUUGGAAUUGAACUAAAUCCAACUUCUUUUUGUUAUACACAACUGUCAUUUGUACCAAAUCCAGAAUUUGAACUGAACUCCAAGUUCCCAAACAAGCAAGAUAACGUAUCAGUAGUUAUAAAGGAAUAUUACUAGCGCUCGGGGUACCUGCUUCAUAGUCUGUCUAAUUGUUUGCGGAGUUUUUGGGAACACUUAUGUAAUACACAAACACACAUAUGUAUAGGCAACAAUGUACAUAUAUUUUUAAUCACAUGUUGCUUGUAACGAAUGGAUUAUUACCAGUCUGUAUUCUGUAAUAGUUUUUUUUCAUACUUGUUCAUAUUUUCUGGGUGACUGUUAUAUGUAUUGGUAUGAAGUGCUAAUUAGAUCAAAAGGCUAUGAGAUAGUGCAUGCAACAUUGGAUUAAAGAAAAACCUUAUUGUAGUACAUUUUACAUCUAAUUUUCUUUGUUGAACAGGGUGUGCAGGCCUGCAGUUUCGGCAUGCAGAAUGGAAAUUGCAAAUCCAGUCAAUACUUGCAAGUUUGAUCAUCCAGCGGCUGCUUCAGAUACCAUACACCAUCUUCACCUUCAAUGACAUAGCUAAAUGCUCAUGUGUUUUAGGUGUACUAGGGUGUAAACUGGAUCCUCAUUAAACUUAGCUUACAUUAUUGGAAUUUGGAAACACAGCAAGAUGAUACAGCUUUUACAUAUUGAAUGUCCAGCUCUACCGUCAAACUAUCUGGUCUUGAACAUUGAGUGGCAGCAGAAGGAAAUUUCGACAUCAAGCUACAACUGUACAAAGUGCUGCUAAAUAUAUUACAGAGUUAAGGUCUUGUAUUUUAAUGCAAUCUCCUGUCUUCCUUCCGUUGGGCGGUGCAUUUAUAUUGUAUAUAUUUUCUCCAGCUUCAUAUAACAUUUUUUUUAUUGAGCAUGUUUCUAUAGAUCAUGUUUUGUGUACAAUAAAAUUAAUAUGUGUUUCAUACUAGGCCCGUGCCUUGCACGGGCACCAAUGCUAGUUUUUAAUAAAUUAUGUAAAAAAUACUGUCAAGAAGAAUUUUUUUCUUAAAAUUACAAUUUUUUGCAGAUUAUUUACAAAAAUAUGACUUAUAAUAAUUUGUAAAUGUUGCAUGAGGUUGUAUAAGUUGUUAUUUGCAACUUUUGUAAAAUGAAGUUGUAGAAGUUGCAAGUCUCACCUUCUUCUCCUACUGCUUCGUUCACGCAAUUGGGUUUCUUCACCUUCCUUCACGGAAAUCCGAACUUUCAGUGACCUCUGACUUGUUCGUCUUUCUGGUCAUCACAAUCAAAUCAAAGAAAUACACACACAUGAUCAGUUGGAUUAUCAAAGUGACAUUGUGCUUAUUCGAAUCAUUGAUCUUCUGUCAUUCAUACGGUUUUGAACUUUAAUGCUGUAUAUAUUAACUCUUUUUCUUCAAUUAAUUGGCCCCAUAAGAGAGUUUCACGAUAGUUUUGAGUUGAAUCAGUGGCUGGCAUUUACAAAAAUAUGACUUGCAACUUCUACAACCUCAUUUGUAACAUCAUUUCUCAAUUGUUGCACAUGAGAUUGCAUAAGUUACGAAUGAAAUUUCUUAUUUACAAUGGUUGCAAAAUGAUGUUGUAGCCUUCAAUCUCCCCAGAAACUUCCACCUCAUCUUUCAUACUUAUAAGACUAUAAGACUUUCCAAAUUUGUCAAUGUUGAGAGAUUUAGAACAACCGGAAGUUAUUCACAACGGCAGCAAUUUGAAAAAUCAGUUUAGAGGAUAAUCACCUCUAGGCUAGUGAUGAUGUUGGUCUUUCUCUUCCAAUAAUACUCGGUGCGUAUUAAAUCCAUUCUCUUUCAUGUUUAGAGAUUUGGGCUGUGUUCACUUAAAUUGAAUGGAAUGACAAGAAAAUUGAAUGAAUUUUGUACUCAUUCCUUCAACCAUUCUAUUGCUACUAUUUUAAUUAGAAUUCUAAUACAUGUGCCUUGAAUGGAAAACUCAUUACAUUUCAUACAUCAUGUUUUCGUACGAUCUUUAUCGCAAUAAAUUUAAACUCAUUCAUAUUUGCUCACUGUUAUCUCAUACUUUUUUUUUUCUUCCAUAAAACUUCUAUAUAAUUUUUCAUUACAUUCUCCACUCAUUCCAUUCAAUCCAAGUGAACACAACCUUAUAAACACUUGCUUUUAUUUAAAUCGUCAUACAUGUCUCUUUUCUGUUACAGCUUAUAGUAGAUUUGUGGUCUACAUAUCAAUGCAGGAUGGUCAAAAGUGGAAGCUGUUAUUACAAUAAAACAGACGGUAUGACAAUCACAUAUCCUAUCCAAGCCAGAUACAUAGUAGAAUAUAGCACGACCUACAAUUAAGUAGAAUUUCAUGCGCGUUUUCCGCUUGGAGGAAGAAAAUUUACAGAUAUUACGAAAAUGUCAUGAGUACGUCCACCGAAGAAAAUCCAUCUUAAUUUCUCUUUUUAUGUUAAAGGUAGGAGGAGACGAGGAGCCAGGGGGUCUACAUUUGAAGCUACUCUCCAAAACCGGGUCGACCAUAAAAACAGGGGAUACAAAAUAAAUUAGCAAAAAAAAGAAAAAGAAAUUAGUAUCAUAUUAUUUUAGGCAAAUUUUGUAAGCCAAUUAUGUACAUAUAACAGUAACCUAAUGUAUGUCAUCUUUUAUAACCGUUGGUAGUCGAUCCAACGAGAGUUUUACAGCGAAAUGUUUUGGCAUUUUUAAAUGUUAUUCUGGUUUGGUGAAGUUUCAUUUGGUAGUUGCUUCUUGCUUGUUUUAUUGAUUUAUUAGUAUUUUGCAUGGGUCUUUCCCCCCUUUGAUGAGUAGCUUGAGCAUGAGUCCGUUUGACUGAUUUCAAAAUUAUGAUUUUAAUAUGAUAAUCUAGGAGUUUAAAAUAUAUGUUUGAAUAAUUUUGAUUUACUAAUGAUUUAUGAUUUAUAAGUUAUUAAAAUGAUAAUACAAAAAAUGAUUUAUGAAUAAGUUAUGACUUAUGAAUAAUUUUUAUAAAAAGAAAUUUAAAAAAACUAAAUCACUCAAGAAAAUAUGGCUAAUUAAUUUUUAGAUUUAAGUUUCUGACUUAUUUAUGAUUUUCAAUAACUUAUUUAUGGCUCUCCAGCCGUUUCAGACUUAUUAUACUAACAGAUAUUUUUCAAUUUAAAUUAGGAAAUAACAAUUUUAUUAAAUGAAAAAGUUUAAAAUUAAGAUCUUACUCUUAUGAGGUGUUCAGGACUAGAUGUCUGUUGGGCGCUGUUACAGUAUGUUAAUAUAAUUUAACAUGAUUUCUACAUGCAUGCUGGUUGUAUUGCUCAGAGCUGUUCACCAACUGAGCUGUUCGCGAACCGAGUUGUUCGCGAACAAGCUCGAGCUCGUCUCGUUAAAACUCCAAAAAAUGCAAUAUUUUUAUGAUAAUUUUGUAUGAUAUACAUGUUAUUAAACGCCGAAUUCAACAUAUAAUAUAUCAAAUCGAUCAUAAAAAUAUUAACUAUAAUAUGGUACCAUCAAAACACACUAAAAUUUUUAUUUGGCUUGCUAUUUUAAGAGUCAAAUAGCGGUGUGAUCUUAUUUUUUUCUGGCUUGGCUCGUAUUUGCUCGUGAAGAAGCUCGUGUUCGGCUCGUUAGUUAACUAGCUCGAGCUCGAACACAAUUUUUUGUUCGAUAAGAAAACUCGGCUCGGCUUGAUAGGAAAAAAAUUUAAAGCUCGGUUCGGCACGGUCAAAACUUGAUUCGGCUCUGUUCGUGAACAGCUUUGGUCUCUGCACACCAUGUUAUAGUAUUGCGAAGAGUAGUAUGAAUUUGGGCACCGGUAAUUACAGAAAGUUUCCUUGUCAAUAUACUCAUUUUAAUUAUAAACUAUUCUGAUAGUUUAAGUAAAUUGUAACCGACUUUUUGAAUAUAAUAACACAGAGCUUUCAAAAUCAAUUUAUAAUUCCAACGUCAACAUCAAAAUGGAAAAAGAAAUUCUGAGCAAAAAGAUUCGCAAAGACAUGAUGAUAAUCAGCCCGAGAGAGCAUUAUUGUUAUAUCCUUGCAUAAUUGUCGAGUUUUCUUUUUUAUAAUAAAACUGGCAACUUUUUAUUAGAAUUGAAUUAAAUUAACUUUUUAUUAGAAUAACUUGCAUUAUUGUUAUAUCAUUACUUUUUAUUAGCAUUAGUUUCAUCUAUUACACCUAUCUUAUAUAUUAAAUAUCAAUUGAUCCCAUCAUUUAUUCUCUUUUCUUUGAAAGAAUUUACUCAUUUUUCUUCUUUAAAUUAUAUUUUUUAUUAGACGCCAUGCCACCUAUAUGUAUAUAACUCCACAGGAUGUAGAGUAAUUUUGUAGGGUAUGUACAGAAAUACCCUACAAAAUUACUCUACAUUUUCCCGAAAGAAGACAGAAGUGGAGGGAUCAGAGUGGAGGAGAGACGUGUAGUAGGAAAAAUAACGCGUCUGCUACUUUGAAACAAUAUUAUUUUACUAUUAAUGUAGCCUGCAGGCCAGACCCAUUUUUAUAUUUAAAACACACUUGCGAAGACUUGGAUCAAAACACACUAGUAAAAGAAAGACUUCAAGUAUACAGAGUGCAUCCGGGAGAGACCUUAGUUGAAUCAAUAAUGGCUUUUGUGUUAUGGGAAACGUUGAAAGAAUCAAUCUCAGCAUACGCAGAUCUCUCACCUGUGACUUUGCUUACAUCUGUAACUUUGGGACUUGCCUUGUUCUACGCUAUUUGGGUGAUGUUUAGGCCCUCUGCUCAGCCACAGCAGCAGCAGAGUUUGGUGGUGAAAGACAAGAAUGAAGUUACAACUAGUCAAUUAGCUGUUGUCACCUCAUCCCCUCUAUGGGAUGUCUUUUUGAGUUUUUGUGGCCAAGACACUCGCGGAAAUUUCAUUUCACAUCUUUACCAUGCUUUGGAUCAGGCAGAGAUCGUAACCUUCCUAGACGAACCUGCACUUGAAAAGGGUGAAGAAAUUUCAAGAGGACUGCCUGAAGCAAUCAGAAAUUCUAAGAUGUUUGUAGUUGUUAUCUCAGAGAACUAUGCUGAUUCGUCGUGGUGCCUUGAUGAGCUUGUAGAGAUCCUGAGUUGCAAGAGAACAAACAAUCAGGUAGUUAUUCCCGUAUUUUACUAUAUUGAUCCAUCACACCUACGACACCACAACGGGAGUUUCGGUGCAGCUCUUAAAAAGCAUGAGAAGCGUCACUCUGUUGAUAGGAUUCACAAGUGGAAAUCUGCACUUGCUGAAUUCGCAGAUUUAUCAGGAUACCAUUUGAAAGACACGAAAGAAGAGUAAGUACCUCUACGAUGAGUUCUUUAUCUAUCUAAUAAUACCGUCUGUUUUUUUAUUAAUGUUCGGUUAUACUUUCUGUGAGCACAUAACAUGCUUACUCAUUAAAGGAAUUGCGACGCAAAACAUUAUAUAUUGUUUAUAUAAGCAAAGGAUUACAACUGUGUAUAUUGUACUAAAUUUAACAGGAGGGAAGCACAUACAGUUCAACAUAUUGUUCAGGAUGUAUUGUCACAAGUACCAACAAAGGCUGUGCACCUUGAAAGAGGUCUAUUUGGGAUAGAUCUUGCUGUCGAAGAGAUAUAUCAACAGCUAAGCAUCGAGUCAAAUGAUGUCCGCGCCCUUGGAAUAUGUGGGAUGGGUGGAAUUGGGAAAACGACUAUAGCCAAGGCCUUCUACAACAAGCACGCCCACGAAUUUGAUAUAAGUUGUUUUAUGGAAAAUGAUAAACAGAAUUCACAAGGAGCUAGUCCUCCACUUUCUUUACUUCACCAACUCCUGAAAGAGCUUCUCAGAGUGAAGGAUUUGAAGGUCCGUGAUUAUGGAAGUGCACUACGUAAAUUGGAAAAAUUUAUCAGUUCUAAGAAAGCCCUCGUUGUUCUUGAUGAUUUAGACCAGUAUAGCUGUUCAGAAUUGCUAGUACGGAUUUACCAGCAGUUUUCAGUUGGUAGCAGAAUCAUUUUUACGGCAAGAGAUACAAACCUUCCAAAUCAACUGAAAGUGGCGAUGUCAAAUGUAGACAUAUAUAUGGUGAAGCAUUUGGAUCACACGGAUUCAUUGAAGCUCUUUAGCUAUCAUGCUUUUAACAUAUCAAAGCCUCCCGGAAAAUACUUAGAUCUGUCAGAAUGUUUUGUCAUGUACACGGGAGGCCUUCCACUAGCUCUAAAGGUGUUGGGUUCGUCUUUGUGCGGUAGAACAGAUGUUUCAUUUUGGAAAGUUAAAUUGGAAAAGGUUAAAAAAAUUCCAUUGAAAGAUAUUCAAAAAGUCCUUCAACUGAGUUACGAUGAAUUAGAAGAUGAAACGGUGAAGGCUAUCUUCCGCUAUAUUGUAUUCUUCUUCCUGGAUAAGAACAUAAAUGAGGCUAUUGAUGUAUUCAAAUCCUGUGGUUUUUUUCCGGAAGUUGGGAUACCAAUUCUAGUUGAAAGGUCUCUGCUAACCAUUGAUUUAGCUAAAAGACUUCAAAUGCAUAAUCUUAUACAAGAUAUGGGAAGGAACGUCAAAGAAUCCAAACAUGGGCUCUUGUACUUGGAUCAGGAAGAAGCUUCCCAGACUUUGCCAAAUACAACGGUGAACAAAAUGCAAAUUUUUUUAUUCUCUUAUGAGAUAACAUACAUGCUUUUUCUAAAUAUAGAAUUAUUUAACUCAAUUAUAAAUUCUAUACUAAUAAAUAAGUCACCAAUUCAUUCAUUUAUUGAUAAACUGUAUGAUUAAACUUCAAUUUAUAAAAUGACAACUUAUUUCCCACAUUUACGUAUUUUUAAGAAAUAUGUAUUAAAAUAGUGUUUAAUAUUACUUAUUUUCCAACAGUAGAAGUAAGUAUUUAUUUCUUAAAAAAAUAAAUUCUUACAUUAUAUUUUUUAAAAAGAAGUAUGAACUUUUAGAAAAUAAGGUUAUAUUCAAAAAAUAUUACUAUUAACUAAUAUUUAAUUUAUAUGUUUUUUAACCUUAUGCAAAGGUGAUUCUUAGAGUACAAUUUCUCACUUUGGCUACUACCUGUUAAUGAACAUUCAGGACAUGGAUAAAAUUGAAGCCCUGGUUGUAGAUUGUACAACGUCAAUCAACAAAUACUGCAAUGCCCAGCUAUUUGAAAGGUUGCCAAAUCUCAGAUUAAUAAAACUAGUUGAUGUAUAUGAUAUCAAAGGAAAAAUCAAAGCUUCAUUUCAUGAGUUGAGGUACAUCAGUUGGCAUGGCUGUCCCUGGACCCAUUUAUCUUAUGGUGUUCAUCUACAAAAACUUGUCGUUUUAGACAUGCCAUUCAGCAGAUUUGAAACAUUGUGGAAGAUUGCUAAGGUAUGAAAUCAAAUAUCUUAACUAUUUCUCUCUCUUGCUCAUGUGUUAUAUGCACAAGCUUUAUAUGUCCUUGAUUCGCACACAUUAAGUUUUUUUUUUUAUAUGUUAUUAAGGGCACGAGCAUGCUGAUAUUUUAGGCCCCUUUUUAUUGAGUAUUUAUAUUUUGGUCAAAUGUUGUUGAAAAUUGAUGAUCUUGGCUAGGCAUUCACCCCAAGAAUUUAAAUAAUCUCUUAUAAAUAUAUAAAUGUUGCUCCACUUCCAAUAAAAUAUAUAUCACAUUGGUGCUACUUUACCUGUAGAGUAUCAUCAUAAUACUCAAUUAGUUGUGACAUAUCAUCAUAUAUAAUAAUCUUCUAAUGGGUUGUGACAUAUCAUCAUAUAUAAUAAUCUUCUAAUUAGCUGCUAUUCUUUUCAUUGUCCAUAUGACAGAUAGUUUAUUACUGUGUUAGGUUUGGUCUCUGUUGUUAUAGUCUGGUGCAAACAUGUUUUUAUUGCUUAAGUGAAUCAUUGAUGUGAGUAAAGUAUCACAAUGAUAUUACUCUAUUAGUGGGGUAUCUUCUUGAUAUUCAACGUGGCGUCUCAUCUUCAUACUCCUCUAACAAUGAAGUAUCUUUUCGGUCUUUCUUGAUGAAAAUUGGGUAAUUUGACUGGACAUUCACCAAGACCUUAAUUAACGUAUAUUUGUUGAACAUUUUUGAAAAUUAGAUAUGUUGAUUGUAAAAAGUUAUUUUGUUAUAAAUGCUUAGAUGAUGUGAUUAAUUAUAUAAUCAUUAGUAAUCACCAUAUUAUGUAUCAAUCAUAUUAUAAAUAAAAUAAUAUCUUGUUUCAAAAAAAAAAAAUAAUAUCUUAUAUAUAAUCAGACAUAUUAAUUACAAUCUAUUAAUUAUAUGUAUUAAUAAAGCAUGUCUACAAAUUAAUUACAUAUUUAAUUAUGAAUCGGUUAAUAUUUCAGAUAUUAUCACGUGUAUUAAUUACAAGUUAUUAAUUAUAUAUAUGAAUUAAGUAAAUGGUUAAAAGAGUAAUUUUUAUAUGAAUAAAAUGAAGUAUGUUAGGCUAUAUAUAAUAGAUAGUUGUUGCAUUAAUUAGGAUUCCAAAAAAUAAAAUGACUCAAAAUUUAUUAUUUUUCUGACAUCAGCAACCACGUGCGAUAAAAUGUUGUGUAUUUUACUUAUGUAUUUAUUGAUAAUUUCUAAAAGAGUAAUUAGAAAUUUAAAUGAUCUUAUAAUUCGUUUUAACACAUAAUUAAAAAAAAUGACAUACAUAAUUAUAAUAUUAUAUAAAUUAAAAGUAAUUAGGAUUUCAAGAAAUAAAAUGACUCAAUAUUUACAUUUUUUUUUUAAUACCAACGCCUACAUGUGACAAACAUUUUCUCAUCUAUUUGUUCAUAAUUAAAAGCAUCUCGGGAAUAUGUAUAAUGGUUGGUUAUAUUGAUUAGUUAAAUUGAUUAUAUAAUUUCUUUGAUGAGGGGACAUGUAUAUGCUCCAAUGAGAUUAUCUAUAAUAAUGCUCGUGGAAAAUUAUAGCUAAGAGCAUCUCCAACCAUGAGAAACCGUUAGCUAAAAGCUUAGUUGGCAUAUCAAAAAUAAAAAUUAUAAUCAACGCCUUCAAAAAGCGACACUCUAAUCACACCCACCCUUUGUCUAUAAUCAUAGCCAACAUCCUAUGAACGACUAUUUUAUCGAUCCACUACACAUCACUUAUUACCAUAUUAAAGUGAUAGAUUCUAUUUAUAACAAUCUAAAAUAUUGAUAACAUACUAUUUUUAAAUUAUAGCCAACCAAUAUAGUUAAUACCAUCGAAACAAAAUAUUUUACAGGUUCGGUAAAUUUUACAUAAUGUUCUACGGGUCUAAUUUAGCCACCGUUAUAGCCAAUCCCGUUAGAGAGGCUCUAAGGUUGUGUUCACUUGGAGUGAAUGGAAAAGAGGGAUAAUGGAAUGAAUUUUGUACUCUAAAAUGGUGUUGAUCAAAGUAAAUGUAUAUCAUUUUCAUUCCUUCCAUCAUUCCAACCUUACUAUUUUAACUAUAACUUUAACCCACAUGUUUUGGAAGGAAUGCUCAUUCCAUUUCAACAUCAUGUUUCUUCACAAUCUUUCUCACAAAAAAAUUAACUACAUUCAUAUUUUAUCACCAUUAUCUCAUACUUUCUUCUUUCUCUUAUAAACUUGUAUAUAAUUUUUCAUUCCAUUCUCCCCUCAUUCCAUUUCAUGAAGUGAACACAGCCUAAGGCUUUACUUGGUUCGACAAAUAUAACCACUCAAACAUGGUAGGCUAUAUAUUUUGCUAAGGGAUGGAGGGUUGGGGUUGUUUAAUUUUUAGAUAAUCUUUGUAAGUGUCAUGUAGAUGAUACCUAGAUGCCACAUAGAGAAUUUUAGCAAAGGACUGAUCUUAUAAUUCUAAUAACAUUGUUAUUAGAAACUAAUCUUAUUAUUCUACAAGAUUUUAGUAAAACAUGUUCCUUUUGUCUCAUUCGAUUGUAUGCGUUAUUUUUUUGCACCCAUUUUAAGGCUUUUGCAAACUGUAGUUUCAUAAUAUUUUUAAAUUUAUUCUUUCCUGAAUAAAAGUUUGAUAUUUAAACUUUUAUUUGAAAAAGAUAAUUUUUAAAAAAAUUCAAUACGUGCACUAGUAAAUGUAUACUGCCACCGGACGGAGAAGUAGCCCUUAUUUCUGAUUAAGAAUUCAUUUAUGGGUGUAUUGAUCGGACAGUUGUCAUCUUUGCGUCAUUUGAAUUUGGAAGGAUGCAUUUACUUGAAGGAAUUGCCAGAUUCAAUUGGGCACUUGACUGGUCUAUACCAUUUGAAUCUCAAUGAUUGUGUAAAACUAAAACGACUUCCCAAACCCAUCACACAAUUGACUACUCUGAGUUGUUUGAAUAUGAGUGGUUGGAGCAAUCUGAAACAAUUGCCGGAGCAAUUGGGCGAAUUGAAAGGCUUAAAGAGGCUUAAUGCAAGUUGUACAGCAAUAGAGCAACUGCCAGAUUCAAUUGCUCACUUGAAGAAAUUAGGUUAUUUGGAUUUGAGGGACUGUAAGAAUCUUAGAAAGUUACCUGAGCAGUUUGGGAACAUGGAAGGCUUGGUGUACUUUAAUGCAGGUGGCAGUGCAAUCGAACAACUGCAAGACUCGUUUUCAGACCUGCUUAAUUUGGUCCAUCUGAAUCUCUCUGGAUGUUCAGAGCUGAAGAGAUUGCCUGAGCAGUUGGGGAAGAUGCAAUGUCUAGAAUUCCUAGAUGCAUCUCAUACAGCAAUUAAAGAAUUACCGGAUUCUAUUGGAUCACUGCCUAGGAUAAAAGUGUUGGGUCUCGCCAAGUGCGAGAAGCUUACGUAUGUCCCAAAUAGCAUCCGCAAUCUUAAAUCAAUUGGAAGCUUAUAUCUUAGCACCUGUGAGGACAUAGUAGAAAUUGAGUUGAUUGAGAAUGUGAAAGAUAUGAACUUGCAGCACCUGGGUCUGAGUUGUAAUAUAAGACUUUGGUUGCCCAUCAUUCUAAGCUUCUCUUCUCUGAUAUCAUUAAGUCUCCGUGAUAAGUGCGGGAGCCCCUCCCCAACCAAACCCUUUAGUUUCUUUCAGCUUUCCAACCUUACAUUUUUUACUUUGACUAACAGUACAACUCAUGGUUCCUCCUUUCCCGAACUACCACUCAAUUUAAGAAGCUUGCAGGUAGAAAGCCACGCUUCUCUAGAACAAGUACCUGAUUUGUCCUACCUCAAACACUUGAAGGAUUUGUACAUAGUCAAAUGCUGCAGCCUUCAAUCUCUCCACAAACUUCCACCUCAUCUUUCACGCCUUACAGUUACUGGAUGUACAAGCCUACAAGACUUUCCAGAUGUGUCAAUGUUGAGAAAUUUAGAACAACUGGAAGUUACUCACAACGGCAGCAAUUUAAAAGUCAAUUUAGAGGAAAAUGACAUUCAGGUUUGUGGUGUUUUUGAUCUUUCUCUUCCAAUAAUACUCAUUCGGUUUUUUAAUAUAUGACAUUUGACUUUUUGGCACACAUUUGUAAAUGUUUUGACCGGUUAGUUAAAAGUAUUAUUUUUGAAAUUUUCUUUUUCUUAAUAAAAAUAUAUAAUCAAAAUUUUAAUUCACAAAAAAAAAUCAAUUAAAAAUAGAGUAAUAAUUUUUACUAUCCGGUCAACUUACUUAGAGGUACGUGAUCAAGUCAAAAAUGACAUAUAAAAAAAACAGAACAGAGGGAGUACUUUGUACAUAUUAAAUCCAUCUCCAUUUCUCUUUUUAUGUUACAGCUAAGAAGUAACCGGUGGUUUACAUUUGAAGCAACUGUACCAAACAAGGAAAUUGCGGAGUGGUUCGACUAUAAAAACAGGGAAGGCUGCACACUAUCUUUUGAAGUUCCCCCGAACUUGGGAGAUGACUUAGUGGGUGUCGCCUUCUGGGUCGUUCAUAAAUGCUCCUGUGACCGAUGGUCAAUAGUUGAAACUGUUAUUACAAAUAAAACACAGGGUAUGACAACUGCCUUGCGCACGGAUACUCAUUAUGGUACAAAGGGUGACCGACAAUCAUCUAUACAUUCCAUAAAGGCAGAGUACAUCUCAAUGAAGAACGGAGACGAAAUUAUGAUUUCUUUUCCUGAAGCAGAAGUGAGUAUGUGUGGCGCUCACAUACUAAAACGUCCUUCCGGCCUAGUCAAAUAAAAUUUUGUCUAAUUUUUUUGCCAGAAAGUAUUGUAUAAUUACAAAGCUUAAAGUUGGGUAAUUCAUCAAAAUUGAAAAUACCAAAUCUAUAAUGUUUAUUCAUCUUGGUAUAUAUAUUACCCAUAUGCAUAUAUUUUUUUGGAGAGGUUUUUUUUUUGUGACAAAAUGCAGAUUUCAUUACUCCAUAUCAUACUGAGUACAAUCUCUAACAUUAACUGGAACAGAACUCCAGUCAAACAUAUGAUCAGGAAUUUAUGGGCAAGUUCGUUUAUUCGUAGAUCGUUUAAUAGAAUACAACUUAAAGUUGUUUGCCUCCUUUAUUAACGCCCUACAAUCUUGAACUACUUGACCAAUACUGAAUACAACUUCUGAUGAUCUGAACGACUAUCAGGUAGUCAGAUUCGAUGAUAACCGUAGUCCAUCCCAUAUUCUUCAUCCAAUUUAGGGCCUCUUUGAUUGCCAAAGCUUCUUCCAAUGUAGGAUUCAAAACUUCUGAAUAGAUUUUGAUCAUAGCAUGAAGCAGAUAACCACCCUGAACCCGAGCAACAAUACCUAUACUUGAACAACCCUUAUCUUUGAAGAUUACUGCGUCAACUGUGAUCUUCACUUCAUGUUGUGGCUUAACCCAACAGGUGACACCAUUUCCUAACAUUGGAGGCUGAAAAGGUGCAAAUAUCUUAUUUAUGUAAAUCAAUAAAAUGUGUUCAAGUAUUGUAAAAUUUAUACCCGUUAAUAGAUUUAUUCUUAAAAAGUGGUUUACCAAUUCAAAUUUAAAAAUUUUGUUAAUCAUUUUAUAUUGUUCUAUACCAAGUAUAAUAAGUUUUUUUUUUGUCAAGAAAUAUAAUAAGUUUUAUAAAUGAAAUAUUAUUAUGUUUUAAUAUAAUCGAUUAUUUUUUUAAAAUAGUUUGAUUAAACAUUGUGAGCCACUGGGUUCAAAACUUUAAUAUAUUUUUUAUAUUUUUAUUUUUUGUUGUUAUACUUCCGAUAACCCUAUGAUUUUGGGCUCAAAUCUUAGUAAUUCUGUUUUAAUAUAUUAUAUGUUUCUUACCAAAACACAUAUAUUUAUCUAAUUAAUUAACUCAAAUCACUUUUAAUUCAAUGAAAAAUCAACAUCUAAAAAAGAUUUUUUUUAAUAUGAUUUUUGUCCCAAUUUAAUUAGAUUCCUGAUCCGUCCAUGCAUUACUUCUACUGUAUAAAGUAGAACUAUGUAAUGCAAUCAGAAAUCGAUGAUGCAGUCAGUAUUCUUUUAUACUAGCUGGACAAAUAUAUGAUAUCAGUAAUAUUAGUCGUGUCCACCAGCUACAGAGCAAUUUCUCAGCUAUUUCUCAACUAUUCCAAACUACUUUUUUAAAUUUAAUAUAAUAAUAGAGUCUAAUUCAUUUUAUAAUUUGAUACAGCAUUAAAAAGAUUUAGUCAGUUCACUUGGUAUACAUACAGCAAGUUUGUUUCAUUAGGAGACUUUAUUUUAGGAAAUGUUUGGUAAAUUAUUUACUUUCUGUAUCCCAUUCAUUUCUAUAUGGUUUUCUUUUUUGAAUGUCACCGUUUUUAUACAUUUAAUAAAUAAUAACUUUUAAUAGUAUAAAAAAUUAUUACACUCAUUAUUUUCCUCCACUAUCUACAUUAUAUAACAAUACAAGAGCAGUGAAGAAAUGUGCUCCAAAGGGGUUAUGUAUAAUUAUGAUCAGAUUGAUUCAACAAAUAUAACUCAUCAAAUAUGUUUUUCUAUAUUUUAUUGUUAAUGCGUGAAUAGUUGGAGUGUUUCAAAUUUUGCGUAUUCUCUAAACAUGUCAACUAGAUGAUACAUAGAUGCCAAGUGGAUGAUAUAACUGCUUUAUACCCGCUGUAACACUAUUACACCCACUACUUUACUCUACUAUCGCAAAUCUAUUUUUGAAUAUAAAUGAGUCUCAUCACUUUAUUUAUUUUUCAUAUAGUUUUACUCAUGUUUUACACUUUUUCUUGGUUUUCAUAUCCACACUCCAAUGUAUAUAAUUGGGUGGGACUGAAAGAAGGAGCAGUGAAACUAAUACAGACUUUUCAACCAUCAGAAUGAACAAAAAGUCGUGAGUACUAAAAGACUCCAAGUAGUGCAAAGAAUAAAUAUACAGACCACAUAUUUUAGAGACCAGGAAGUUGAUAAGUACAGACCUUAGUUGUUUGAAUUCAUUCUGAAUCAAUGGCUUUUGAGUUAUGGGAAACGUUCAAAGAUUCAAUCACGGCAAUCACGGCAUACGCCGAACUCUCACCUGUGACUUUGGUUAUAUUUGUAGCUUUGGGACUUGCCUUGUUCUACGUUGUUUCGGUGAUGUGUUUAGGCCCUCUGCUCAGCCAGACCAGCAGUACUGUUCGGUGGGGAAAGACAAGGAUCAAUUAGCAACUGUCACCUCAUCCCCUCUAUGGGAUGUCUUUUUGAGUUUUCAUGGCAACGACACUCGCAGAAAUUUCAUUUCACAUCUUUACCGUGCUUUGGAUCAGGCGGGGAUUGUAACUUUCAGAGAUGAUCCUGCACUUGAAAAGGGCGAAGAAAUCUCAUCAGGUCUGCGUCAAGCAAUCAGAAAUUCUAAGAUGUUUGAACUGGUUAUCUCAGAGAACUAUGCUAAUUCGUCGUGGUGCCUUGAUGAGCUUGUAGAGAUCCUGAGUUGCAAGAAAAUAAAGAAUCAGGUUCUUACGGUAUUUUACUAUGUUGAUCCAUCAGAUCUACGACACCACAAGGGGAGUUUUGGUAUAGCUCUUAAAAAGCAUCAGAAGCGUCACUCUGUUGAUAGGAUUCACAAGUGGAAAUCCGCGCUUACUGAAGUGGCAGAUCUAUCAGGUUACCAUUUGGAACACACGAAAGAAGAGUAAGUACCUCUAUGAUGAGUUCUGUAUCUAAUUAUACCAUCUAUUUUUCUAGCGAUGUUCUGCUACAAUUUUUUUGUAAACACAUUAAAGGACUUGCGACGCAACGCAUUAUAUAUUAUUGAUAUUACCAAAAGAUUACAACUCUGUAUAUUGUAGUAAAAUUAAGUAACAUUAACAGGAGUGAAGCAGACACUAUAAAAAAUAUUGUUGAGAAUGUAUUGUCCCAAGCAUCAACAAAGGUCGUACACCUUGAAAGAUGUCUAUUUGGGACAGAUUCUGCUGUCGAAGAGAUAUAUCGACGACUAAGCAUGGCGUCAAAUGAUGUCCGCGCCCUUGGAAUAUGUGGGAUGGGUGGAAUUGGGAAAACAACUAUAGCCAAGGCCUUCUACAACAAGUACUCCCUUAAAUUUGAUAUAAGUUGUUUUAUAAAAAAUGAAAAACAGAAUUCACAAGGAGCUAGUCCACUUUCUUUACUUCACCAACUCUUGAAAGAGCUUCUCAGAGUGAAGGAUUUGAAGGUCCGUAAUUCUGAAAGUGCACUUCGAAAAUUGACAGAGAUUCUAAGUUCUAACAAAGCUCUCAUUAUUUUUGAUGAUUUGGACCAGUCAAAUUAUUCGGAAUUGGUAGUAAGAAUUUACAAGCACUUUUCAGUUGGUAGCAGAUUCAUAUUUACGGCAAGAGAUACAAACCUUCCAAAUCAACUGAAAGUGGCAAUGUCAAAUGGAGAAAUAUAUAUGGUAAAGUAUUUGAAUCAAAUGGAUUCAUCGGAGCUAUUUAGCUAUCAUGCCUUUAACAUAUCAAAGCCUCCCGGAAAAUACUUAGCUCUGUCUCAAAGUUUUGUUACUCAUGCGGAAGGCCUGCCGCUGGCUCUAAAGAUGUUAGGUUCAUCUUUGUGCGGUAGGACGAAUAUAUCAAUUUGGAAAGUUAAAUUGGAAAAGGUUAAAAAAAUUCCGAUGAAAGAUAUCCAAAAAAUCCUUCAAUUGAGUUAUGAUGAAUUAGAAAAAGAUACGCAAAAGGCUAUUUUCAGUUAUAUUGUAUUCUUCUUCCUGGGAAAGAACAUAAAUGAGGCUAUUGACGUAUUCGAGUCUUGUAAAUUUUAUCCUGGGGAUGGGAUACGAAUUCUAGUAGACAGAUGUCUACUAACCAUUGAUUCCCGUAAUAGGUUUCAAAUGCAUAAUUAUAGAAGAUAUGGGAAGAAAUGUCAUUCGUGAAGAAUCCAAACAUGCCCGAGUCAGGCUCUUGCACUUGGAUCAAGAAGAAGCAUCUCAAGUUUUUCCAAAUCAAGGGGUAAACAAAAUGCUAAAUAUUUUAGUUCUAAUUAUGAGAUAACAUACUACGCUUUUUUUAAUAUAUAAUUAAUUUAAUAAUCAAAUAUUACAUUAUAAAUAAAAUAUAGUUCAUUAUAUUACUUAUAAACAUUUUUUAUUUAGAAAAAUUAUUUCCAAGUAGAAUCUAGUUUAUAAGUUUCUAACAUAUUCCAAAUGUGGUUUCGGAGGACACUUUUUCACUUUUACCACGGUUUGUUAUUGCACAUUCAGGAAAUGGAUAAAAUUGAUGGACUGAUUAUAGAUUGUACAACGUCUAUAAACAAAUACUGCAAUGGAGAGCUAUUUGAAAGAUUGCCAAACAUAAAAUUAUUGAAAUUAGUUGAUGUGUAUCAUAUCAAAGGUAAUUUCGAAGUUUCAUUUCAUCAGUUGAGGUACAUCAGUUGGCAUGGCUGUCCUUGGACCCAUUUACCUUAUGGUGUUCAUCUACAAAAGCUUGUUGUUUUAGACAUGCCAUUCAGCAGAUUUGAUAAAUUGUGGAAGAUUGCCGAGGUAUGUAAUCACAUAACUUAACUAAUUGUCUUUCUUCCUUAUAUAUGUAUAUUAGUAUAAUAUGAGAAUUACACCCCCACAAAAAAAUGAAAAACUGUGAUGCUAAUCACAAAAGACAAAUAGGAGGAACUAAAAAACAAGUGUCUAGUAUAUAUUUUUCUCAUUGCUGGUUGUCUGUUUCCUCUAUAGUUGGAAUAAAGACAUGUUGGAACAAAGACAUUAGAUAAAAUUUGCUGAACCGGUAAAACAUUAUGUUUCAAUGGUAUUGGCUAUAUUUUAAAAAUAAUAUGUUAUUAAUAUUUAGAUUGUUAUAAAUAGAAUAUAUCAGUUUAAUAUGGUAAUAAAUAAUAUGUAAUUAGUGGGAAGAAGGAAAAUAAAUUGCGGGAGAUGGCGUGUAAUUCACUACAGAUCGGUAGUGGUUCGACAAAUAUAGUCAUUCAUAGGGAGAUGACUAUAAUUAUAAACAAGGGCUUGCUAUGAUUGGAGUGCAGUUUUUUGUGGACAUUGGCUAUAAUUUUUGAUUUUGGUAAGCCAGUUGACUUCUUGUGGUUGGAGAUGCUUUUAAGUUCUAAUGCAAACUGAAAACUCUUCAAACCUGGCAUUAAUUUCUGAUUAAGAGUUGAUUUAUGGCUGUAUUGAUUGAACAGUUGCCAUGUUUGCGUCAUUUGAAUUUGGAAGGAUGCAAAUACUUGAAGGAAUUGCCCCACUCAAUUGAAAAGUUGACUGCUUUAUACCAUUUGAAUCUGAAUGGUUGUGUGAAUCUAAAACGACUUCUCAAACCCAUCACACAGUUGACUACUCUGAGUCGUUUGAAUAUGAGGUUUUGCAGCAAUCUGAGACUAUUGCCCGAUCAGUUGGGCGAUUUGAAAGGCUUAAAGAGGCUUGAUCAGUUGGGAGAUUCAAUUGCUCACUUGAAGAAAUUAGUUUAUUUGAAGUUGGAAGGUAGCAAGCAGCUUAGAAAGUUACCUGAGCAAUUUGGGAACAUGGAAGGCUUGGAGGAAUUUAAUGCAUGUCACAGUGGAAUCGAACAAUUGCCAGACUCAUUUUCAAACCAGCUUAAAUUGAGAUCUCUGAAUCUGAGAGGAUGUUCAGAGAUGAAGAGAUUGCCUGAGCAGUUGGGGAAGAUGCAGUCUCUAGAAUCGCUUUAUGCUUUUAAUACAGCAAUCGAAGAAUUACCGGAUUCUAUUGGAUUACUUCCUAGGAUACAACGGUUGCAUUUUGAUGAAUGCCAUAAGCUAACAUAUGUUCCGAAUAGCAUCUGCAAUCUUAAAUCACUCGCAAGCUUAUAUCUUACCACCCGUGAGGACAUAAUAAAAAUUGAUUUGACUGAGGCCAUGAAGGAUAUGAACUUGGAGGACCUGCGUCUGAGUUGUAAUAUAAGAGUUUGGUUGCCCAUCAUUCUAAGUUUUUCUUCUCUGACAUAUUUACGCCUCCGUGAUGAGUGCGGGAGUCCCUCCCCAACCAAACCCUUUAGUUUUUCUAAGCUUUCCAACCUUGACGUACUUUCUUUGACUAACAGUUCAAGUCACGGCUCCUCCUUUCCCGAACUACCACCAAAUUUAAUAUUGUUGGAGGUAGACAACCACGCUUCACUAGAACAAGUACCUGAUUUGUCUUACCUCGAACACUUGAAAGAAAUUUCCAUAAGGAGAUGCUGCAGCCUUCAAUCUGUCCAGAAACUUCCACCUCAUCUUUCAAGCCUUACAGUUACAGAUUGUACAAGCCUACAAGAGUUUCCAGUUCUGUCAAUGUUGAGAGAUUUAGAACUACUGGAAGUUACUGGCAACGGCAGCAAUUUAAAAGUCAAAUUAGAGGAAAAUCACCUUCAGGUUUGUGGUGUUUUUGAUCUUUCUCUUCCAAUAAUAAUACUUUGGACAUAUUAAAUCCAUUUCCAUUUCUCUUUUAAUCUUACAGCUAAUUAGAAGAGACUGGGGGUCUACAUUUGGAGCAACUCUACAAAACAAGGAAAUAGCAGAGUGGUUCGACUAUAAAAACAGGGGAGGGUGCACACUAUCUUUUCAUGUUCCCCCAAACUUGGGAGAUCACUUCGUGGGUGUCGCCUUCUGGGUUGUUUAUAAAUGCUCCUAUGAUGGAUGGUCAGCAGUUGAAGCUGUUAUUACAAAUAAAAGAGAGGGCAUGACAACUGCCUCGCACAGCAAGGGUAUUAAUUCUGGCAGAAAGGGUGACGUGCUAUCAUUUAUACAUUGCAUAAGGGCAGAGGACAUCUCAAUGAAGAGCGGAGACAAAAUUAUGAUUUCUUAUCCUGACGGAGAAGUGAAUAUGUGCGGGGUUCACAUACUAAAAUAGCCUUCCACGAAGAGCCUAGCGACAGAGCCAAGUAAAAUGUUGUAUAAUUUGAUUUUGUAAAGAAAGUGUUGAAUAGUUAGAGCAUCUCCAACCAUUGAAAACCCUUGGCUAAAAAGUGAGUUGGCAUACUUAAAAUAAAAAAAUUUAGCCAACAGCUCGAAAAACUCAACUCCAACCAUGCUCCGCUGUUGUCUAUAAAUUUAGCCAACCUCCUAUGGAUGGCUAAAUUUGUUGAACCUCUACAGGUCUGUAAGAAAAUCUGUAGGAAGAUUGCAUAUCAUUUAUUACCAUAUUGAACUGAUAUAUUCUAUUUUAACAAUCUAAAAUAUUAAUAACAUACUAUUUUUAAAUUAUAGCCAACCAAUAUAGUCAAUACCAUUGAAGCAAAAUGUCUUACAGGUUCAGCAAAUUUUACGUAAUGUCUUACAGAUCCCAUUUUUUUAUCAAUAUCUUAUUCAUGUAAUAUAAUAAAAUGUGUUCAAAAUAUAGUAAAAAUUAGCGAUUAAUAGAUUCAUUAUUUUUUUUGAAACAAAGGUGUUAAUCUAAUAACAAAAAACCAUACGGCAUCUACACCAAUGAUCGAGUCGAACAAACAGUAAUUUGCAAUCGCCUGUUCUCAUAAAGAGACAGUUAAACGAUAUUUUAAAGAAAAUGUAUAUACAAAUACAAGUACCCGCUUCAUGCAUCCGAAGCAUGCUCGUUGAAUUACUGGUACCCUCUUCAUCAUGCCCUGACAGAGGUAUCGUCUGAGGUAUCGACCAAAACGGCGAUUCCAUACAAACUUUCAUCACCAAAUCAAGACCCUGCUUACAAUUAAGAAGCGAAAAACAAAACUCUCACCAGAAAGAGAAAACAACCUUAGAUCUGAAGCAGAACCACUGGAACAAGAGAAAUCAGACUGAAAAUCCACCCGCUUGAAACAGAGAAGAAAGAAAACGAAAUCUCCGAUGGUUUUAGAUCUAAAAAUUCUUCCGAGAAUAGAUCCGGAGCAGAACCACAAAAACAAGAGAAAUCAGACUGAAACUCACCCGCUUGGAAGAGAGACAACGAAAUCUCCGAUGGUUUUAGAUCUAAGUAUCCCGAGAAGAUGUAUUAUUCAAAAACCAGAAAGAAAAACAAAGCAAUCAAGUGAUUCGGGGCUUUCCACCGGUGAAAACCGAUAGAAGCCCCAGGCGGAUUUGACAAGAAAGAGGCUAGAGAAAAUUAGGGUUAAGGGAGAGGCUAGGGUUAAAAAGCUGUGUUAAUAGAUUCAUUAUUAAAACGUGCUUUACUUAUUCAAUUUUACAAAUUUGAUUAGUCAUUUUGUAUUAUUUUAUACCAAAUAGUUCAAGUUUCAUCUGGGCAGGGAUCCAUGCACAGAGCCAACGAAGCUCUAAAGAAUGGGUUUAGAUGGGUCAUUGGAGAUGGUAAGGAGGUGGUGGCUGUUCAGGAUCCUUGGCUGCGUAGAAAGCAAGAUCAUCGAGUAGAAAAUAGUCAUAUUUAUCAAGGAAGAGAUGAGAAAGUUGCAGACAUAUUCUUACCAGGUACGAAACAAUGAAAUUUUGAUCUAGUUCAAGCUCAGUUCCGUAGUGAGGAAGCCAUGGCUAUCUUAGCCACUCCGAUCCCUAAGGUCCAGAUUAAGAUCGUAUAGGCCAUGGUCUACUCAGAGUGCAGGUCGGUUACUGUUGUUGAAAGUACAGGUUGGGCUAAGCUCUGGAAGGUGAACAUCCCACAUAAAAUGAGGGUCUUCUUACGGAGGUUUUGUAGAAAUACAGUUCCAGUCAGGAAUAGGCUGAGAGGGAAGGGAGUGCAGGUGCCCACUCUUUGUCCGAUGUGUAAUAGCGAUGUUAAACACUUGUUGCAUAUAUUUUUAGAUUGUCAGUAUGUUGCUAGGUGUUGGCGUCAUGCAGGAUUGCAGUAUGACAUGGCAAGCGUUAAGUCUGCUCCGGAGUGGUUGCUUCAAAGUGUUAUGUUAUUGUUAUAGAAUCCUGAUUAAGAAAUUCAGACUCCUCAAAGCAAAAUAGAUGCAUGAGCCACAACUAUGUUUUCUGCUUUUAUGUGUAAAUAUAUAGUGACAAGAUAAAGAGGGCAUACGUAAGUAAUUUUUAAUAAUGGCUCCGAUAUAUGCAGAAAAUGUUGUUCUGGACAGGACUGGAAGAACUCGACCAAUUUCAGGGACUGGAAGAUCGCCAUUCUCUGCUGCUUGUUCUUGCCUCCUUUUAUUGAUCUUGCAGGGAUUGAAUAGGGCGUUGAGUAGCUUGAACCAACAAAAUUAAUCAGAGAACAUUCACAAAGUAGUUGAUAGAAUGUAAAUAGCAGAAAUAGGUGCACUGCUUACAGAAGGCAUCAAGAUUUCAUCUAUAUGUAGCAAAAUGAUAUAUAAUAGUUUGCAGACUUGGCCUUCAUUUUUUAUUAUGUUCACUAGUAACAACAAAAAAGUCCCAAUUGCAAUCUAAUAACCUUUAAAGAGAAACUGAAGCACUUGUGUGAAGUCAUGAGUUCCAGAGGAAAUCGGAUUGUCAACUACUGCAUGCUUAACCUUUAAAUAAUCAGGCCCAACACCAGCGGACCAGACGGCGGCCUUAAAAUCACGCCAUCAACCUGAAAACCACCUCCACCAGAUACUGAAGCUAGCCGAGUCGCCUCAUUCAAGCUAUAAAGAGUGUUUUUACACCUGAGUAGUAUCCCAUUCUUUGCAGCUAUACGACAGGAAUCGUUCCUUGGGGUUGACCGAUGAAGUUUAAUUACCUGCCCAUUCCAUCAAUUGCCGGAUGAUUUAUUUCCCUGCAAUAUAUGAAUUCUUAAAUUAUGCACCAAAUCAGUAACAGGGGAAAGAUGAAAAACAGAAGCUACUGACAAACAUGCAUCUGGAAUGUCAUAUACAAAAUGUGAAGCACGCCAUAACUGGGAAUGACAUAAGCACAAUGACAUCAGAGUUAAAUAGCAAACUCUGGACAAAGAGGUUACCCUCUUCUCAUAAUAUGGACAAGUAGUAUGAACUGGGCAAUUUCAGUGAAGUUGCCAAGUAUAUGAUUGAAGUUUCGAGCUCCAUUAUUGUCAAAAAGUAGUAGUAUGAAUUUAUACAAUUUCAGUGAACCUGUCAAGCAUUGAAGUUUCCAGGCGAGACCGGAGUUUUGAGUGAAGUUUUCAGCUUUUCAUGUCACGAAUUUUUUUUAUUAAGUUAUAACAAACUCUUAGAAUUUAUUUAACUAUUUUCAUAAUAAUUUAGUUUUGAAAUAUUUUUCACAGCAUAAUUUAAUUUUAGUUAAGAGAAUUCAUGACGACACGACAUUAAUAUUUUGUGGAGGGCCAGCUGAAUUUUCUGAUUAAGAAUCAGAAUGACAUACACACUUUGACAAAAAUAAAAAGAAUAUGUAAAGAAUAUCAAACUUAGACGAUAAAUUUCAAAAAAUAUGAAUUGAGGUUUUAUAAACUUUUAAAUAUAUUCAAAUUAUAAAGAAAAUUAAAAGUAAGGAAAGGGCUCAAGACUCAAGACUUGACUCAAGAGUGCCCAAAAAGGCUGUAGUAGUGGAAAAAGAAGACAUAAACAGUGACCACACAUUUAGAGAUAGGGAAGUGAAAAAAGCAUUACAAAGCCAGUGCAUUUUUAUCACCUGCAAACAUAAACAGUGUCCUCGGUUUAGUUUUCUUCUACUUCAUUCUGGAUCAAUGGCUUUUGUGUUAUGGCAAACGUUGAAAGAAUCAAUCACAGCAUACGCAGAACUCUCACCUGUGACUUUGCUUACAUCUCUAACCUUGGGACUUGCCUUGUUCUACGCUAUUUCGGUGAUGUUGAGGCCUUCUGCUCAGCCACACCAGCAAGUCGCAGUGCUGGAAGACAAGAAUGAAUUAGCUGCUGUCACUUCAUCCCCUCUAUGGGAUGUCUUUUUGAGUUUUCGUGGCCAAGACACUCGCAAAAAUUUCAUUGGACAUCUUUACCUUGCUUUGGAUCAGGCAGGGAUCGUAACCUUCAAAGACGAUCCUGCACUUGAAAAGGGUCAAGAAAUUUCAACAGGACUGCG
rnacentral:lncRNA from 1 species